rnacentral:tRNA from 1 species
AGAAGUAAUAAAAUUUCAGCUUCUAACUGAAAAUAGAUUUUAAAAUAAAUCUUACUUCUA